UACGGGGGGAGCAAGCGUUGUUCGGAUUUACUGGGCGUAAAGGGCGCGUAGGCGGCUUGGCAAGUCGGGUGUGAAAACUCCAGGCUCAACCUGGAGACGCCACUCGAUACUGCCAUGGCUUGAGUCUGGUAGGGGAUCACGGAAUUCCUGGUGUAGCGGUGAAAUGCGCAGAUAUCAGGAGGAACACCGGUGGCGAAAGCGGCGCACUGGAUCUCUUCUGACGCUGAGGCGCGAAAGCCAGGGGAGCAAACGGG
rnacentral:rRNA from 1 species